AGAUGUGAGGUGAUCUGGCUGUGACAUCUUUCAUCCCAUUGAUUGCCAGGAUUGAUUCAGCUGAUCUGGCUGGCUAGUCGGGUGUCCCCUUCCUACCUCACUGUUCCUUGUGUGUCUCUCCCGAAGCUGCGCACUUGCUCGAAGAGGACGAACAUCCCCAAUAGAGGAGGACUGUUCUUCGGUCAAGGGUCUAUCAGUAGCUGUGCUUCCCUGCUAGACCCUCCAAACAAGCUGUCAAGUACACUAAGCACAAAAAGUCAGUGAUUAAUUUUAGUCUUCAGAUGUUUUCUGAAUAUCAGU
rnacentral:snRNA from 1 species